AUACGUAGGGGGCGAGCGUUGUCCGGAAUGAUUGGGCGUAAAGGGCGCGUAGGCGGCGCGGUAAGUCUGGAGUGAAAGUCCUGCUUUCAAGGUGGGAAUUGCUUUGGAUACUGCCGCGCUUGAGUGCAGGAGAGGUUAUCGGAAUUCCCGGUGUAGCGGUGAAAUGCGUAGAGAUUGGGAGGAACACCAGUGGCGAAGGCGACUUACUGGACUGUAACUGACGCUGAGGCGCGAAAGUGUGGGGAGCAAACAGGAUUAGAUACCCUGGUAGUCCACACUGUAAACGAUGAAUGCUAGGUGUAGGGGGUAUCGACCCCUUCUGUGCCGCAGUCAACACAAUAAGCAUUCCGCCUGGGGAGUACGGCCGCAAGGUUGAAACUCAAAUGAAUUGGCGGGG
rnacentral:rRNA from 1 species